GCCCCCCGCACCUCCAGCCGCCCCCGCACCCCGCACCUCCAGCCGCCCCCGCACCCCGCACCUCCAGCCGCGCCCCCGCCCCUCCUCCGAGUCCUCCCGCGUCCACUACCGAGCGCGGCUCCCAGGGGGCGCCCAGUCUCGGUGUGCCUGACGUCCUGCAGCCUGGCUGGAUGCCUCAGCCUUCAAGUAGCGGGCGGUGCCCACCGGCGGCCUCAUCGCCGACCGGCCUCGGCGGCGGCCCUGCAGCCAUCUCGGCGGCCAAGGCGAGCGGGACUGCAACCCCCUUCGGCCUUCUCGAUCUGCCUCCUCCGCUUGCAAAACUACCCACUUCUGACCCCCGGCUCUCCCCGCCUGUGUUGGAGCGCCCUGCGGAAGACUUGGGGUGGUUCUUCGGCCCGGGAAGUUCACGCCGGCCCGGGGAGGGCGAUCUUGAAGUUGGAGGGACUGGCUUGAGGCCGGGCGGAGGCUCCCUCCAGCUCCCACCUUGUCAGGAGGCCCUUGGCUCUCAGAUGAUGGUCCCCUCUGUGUGCUCGCUGCCUGAGCGCUGGCUGGCGUGAUUGUUCAGGACUUUCUCCACCGCUUUUCCCACGGCCUGUUAGGUCCUUCCCCUCUCGCAUCCCACUUCUCUACUCUGCAUCCUGCAGGUUUCUGUUUAAGUGCCGCUGCCCCAAUGAAGUCUUCCUGUAAUUCCCAGAUGAAAUUCAUUUAUUGACUCACUACAUGGUAAGCGUUAUGAGGUGUCCACUUCUGUGUUAAUUCGGUGCUUUCAGCAUCUCAUCCGAUCCUCAGAAGAAUCCUAGGAGAUAGAACCGUUUUAUAGAUGAGAAAACUGGGGACCCAGUUUCCAGAGCCCCGGAUGAGGACUACUGCAACAUCUACAAAGGGACCAAAUUCAGCCGGAUGUGUAAGCUUAGUUUGGAACAAAAACAAUUGUUUGCAAAAUUGUCCUGCAAACAUGGGUUUCCACUUUCACUUGAAAUCCUGAAAUCUAGCACUUUGGAAGGAUGGCUUAGGACCACUCAGUGGUGGUGGUUUUCUUUUUGACGGCCUGGACUAUAGGACUACAGGCCAGUUUCAGAAAUAGGUGAGAUCCCUCAGUCCCUCGAGGAACCGCUAGAAAGGAAUAAAGGGCACCUGCCUCCUUUCAGAACUAGCGGUAGCCUUGGAGUGAGCACACUGAUUCAGCAGCUGGGGCAGCCCAUUUAUCCCGCGGUCCGUUCCUGUCCUGAAGGCUGCUUGCUGCUCUCCCUUCUCCAUCUCUUCUGGAUCUCUGUAGGUGUUGGUAGCUUCUAGAUCAGCCAGGAUAGGCUAGGUUAAGUUGCAGUAACAAAGAACACCAAGUUUGGUGGCUUCUAGCAAAGGUCAUUUCUUACUCUUGCUGCAUGUCUAGUGCAGGUGGUCUGCUCCUUCCAGUCCCUCGGGGAAGAGACUCCAUCUCCAUCUGAGCUUCCAUGUGACAGUUCUGCUCCCACUGUAUUGGCCAGUCGAUAACCCGACCUAACCUCAAAGGAGUCAGAACAGCAAUGUCCCCACAGGCCUAGAAGAACUGGAACACUUGUGAGCAACCCUAAUGACAAAUACAGCUUCUUAAGAGCCCUAGGGGAAGUUCAUUGCCCCCAUAUAGAAGAUUUCCUGGGGAACAUUCACUAGGAGAUAGCUGCUGAGCGAGCUCUUCUGUUGUCCUGCGGUAUGGCAACACCCACAGGCAGGAGAGAGCAGUCUGAAAUACACCCAGCUAGAGUGGACAGGUGAACGGAAAAAUACCCCGGUGCAAGGCAGAUGCAGAGGCAUCUGCGAGUCAUCACCAAAAGCAAGGUGCCCCUUGGGGCGUCUGGGUGGCUUGGUCAGUUAAGUGUCCAACUCCUGGUUUUGGCUCAGGUCCUGGGCUCAGGGUUGUGAGAUGGAGCCCCGCGUCAGGCUCUGCACCCAGCCUGGAAUCUGCUGGAGAUGAGAUGCUGUCUUUCCUUCCCCUCUACCCCUCCCCCCUGCUCUCCCCUGCUCUCUUCUUACAUAAAUAAAGAAAUAAAAUCUUAAAAAAAAAAAAAAAAAAAGCAAGUCACCCCAAAGCUGACUGGAUCUGAUCCAUGAAGAUUCCAGAAAUGAAAUUCUCACCGAUGAGUGUGGCUUCAGGUGGCCUCUUCUCCCUCUCCCUCUGCCUCUCUCCAUCUUGUGUUCUCCGUCCCUCUGCGCUCUCUCUCUCAAAUGAUUUUUGAAAAAAUCUUUUAAAAAAUAAAAUAAAACCAAGGGCUCCUGGGUCCCUCUGUCGGUUGGGCUCUUUUGGCUCAGGUCAUGAUCUCCGGCUCCCUGAUCAGCAGGGAGUCUGGUUCACUCUCUCUCCCUCUGCCCUCCCCACAGCUCGUCCUCUCUCUCUCUCUCUCUCUCUCUCAUAAAUAAAUAAAAUCUUAAGAAAUAAAAACAAA